rnacentral:rRNA from 1 species
UACGUAGGUGGCAAGCGUUAUCCGGAAUUAUUGGGCGUAAAGAGCGCGCAGGUGGUUAAUUAAGUCUGAUGUGAAAGCCCACGGCUUAACCGUGGAGGGUCAUUGGAAACUGGUUGACUUGAGUGCAGAAGAGGGAAGUGGAAUUCCAUGUGUAGCGGUGAAAUGCGUAGAGAUAUGGAGGAACACCAGUGGCGAAGGCGGCUUCCUGGUCUGCAACUGACACUGAGCCGCGAAAGCGUGGGGAGCAAACAGG